AACGAACGCUGGCGGCAUGCCUAACACAUGCAAGUCGAACGAGACCUCCGGGUCUGGUUGCUCACGGGUGCGUAACGCGUGGGAACCUUCCCUUAGGUUCGGAAUACCUCCCCGUAAGGGGUGCUAAUACCGGAUAAUUUCUUCGGACCAAAGAUUUAUCGCGUUUGGGGGGGCCCGCGUUGGAUUAGCUGGUUGGUAGUGUAAAAGCCUACCAAGGCGACGAUCCAUAGCUGGUAUGAGAGGAGGAGCAGCCACACUGGGGGUGAGACACGGCCCAGACUACUACGGGAGGGAGGAGUGGGGGAUACUGGACAAUGGGCGAAAGGCUGAACGAGCAAGGGCGGGUGAGUGAUGAAGGUGUGAGGGAAGUAAAGCUGGUUUACACGGGAUGAUAAUGACAGUACCGGGAGAAUAAGCACCGGCUAACUCCGUG
rnacentral:rRNA from 1 species